rnacentral:rRNA from 1 species
AUCUGGGCGGCGGAAUUCAGGAUGACGGGCGUGCCUCGCGGCGCGUCGGUCGUUUGAUAUUUCCGUCGCCGAUCACCCUCAGACGUCGCGACCUGUUCGCGGUCGGUCCCUGCUCGGAGGAGCCGCGUUCGAGUUCGUUGUGUACGCGUUUCGGCGUGGCACACGGCGAAGGCGCGGAUCUCUGGCUGGCCGUCGGACAGUACGCUUACGGUGUCCGGUGCCGUCGUCUCGUACGCGCGCGCACCGGUACCGGUCAGCGACGAAUUCUUCGGGCCUCUUUCCGACCCGUCUUGAAACACGGACCAAGGAGUCUAACAUGCGCGCGAGUCGCGGGGUGUCGAGCGUACUUCGGUGCGUUCGUUACGUUGCGAAACCCGUACAUGUCGAAGGCGUAAUGAAAGUGAAUGGGGAAGAUGGUGUUCCGAGUACACGUUCCGCGAUCGUCGGUAUCGCGGCCGGACACCCGCAUUCCCGGGGCGUCUCAACGGCCCGUCGCUGAUGCGGACAGUCGUCUCUCGGGGCGGCUGUCGGUCGGCGACGAACCAA